CAAAAAGUGAGUGUUGAUUCUGUGGCAGGUAAGGCUGUGUUACGAUUUUUAGCUAUUAUAUAUUUAAUUGUACGUUUGGCUCCUGUAAGGAGGAAAAGCAACAGCAAGAACAGAAUGUCCUAACAAGUGUGCCAUUCUGUUUUUGCUCAGAUAGUUUAAGCUUAGACUGUUAAUAAAUCUGUUCCAAACUGAAAAAGCAAGUGGUACAUUGAUAUGGAAGUAAGCAGCCCAUGCCUAAACACUUGUUAUUUCUAUUGGAGUUGGAAACCAGCUUAAAUAACCAGAGUAAAACAUCAAAGGACAGAGCUUAAUCCUAACUAGAAUUAUUCUAAAUAUACAUCCAAAUAAGAAUUAGUAUUUUUAUUUACAAAUGCAUUGUUAAUACUGUGUUACAAAGAGUGCAAUUGUAAAUUCAGUGGAGGUAAGUGUGGAUUAUUGUUUUGCUGGACAAGUUUAGACCUGUUGGUUGUUCUUACAGUGGUGGAAAUUCUACUGUUAAGCCAGACAAGUAUUGAAUAACUUGAAAUACUGGCAUAGUACUUCAACAACAACAAAAACAAAAAAGCACACCUUCUGGAAUUGUAAAGAAAAGUACACUGAAAGGUUUAUUCUCCCCUCCUCUCCCCACACACACAAGUGUUAUAGCGGUGUGUCUUUUAUAGUGGACAUUGCACAGUGUGUUAUUUUUGCUAUGUGAUCCCCAAAUGGGGAUAACCCAAGCUGAAAAAAGUCUGUGUAGAGUAAGGGCUCAAGUUCAACUCUUCUUUGAUUCACCUUGCUGCAGGCAGUUGUAUUUUGAGUAAGAAAGUAUGUGUGUUUCCAUUGCACUUCUUUUUUUUAAUGAUGUUUUUUCAUAUAAGUUCAUGAGACUUUCUCAUCUAGCCCACUGUUCAAAGGGAGAUGUUUGUCUCAUGGCUUAAAAGCUAGAAAAGAAUAUUACUCCAAAGAGGAGGGGUGAGGAAGGGGUUUGUGGGAAUAAAUUUGAAUAAUGAACGUAUUUCACAAAGGGGAUUGUUUAGGUAUGCCAUAGGGCUGUGUUAGAGAAGGCACAAGUCCGUGUGUCUCUUGAGUCUUGGUGAUCUAAAGAGGGAGAUGAAAGUUUAAGGAAACAAAAUCUGUCUCCUUUGCCUUAAGUCCAAAACAACAUAGCUCACAUUUUGCAAGCCAAGAUUUAGUUUUAGUUCUACCCGUGUGAUUUGAUUAAAGGAGAAAAUUUGGAGAUGCAUAGGGAAAGAGCUCUUAGAUUGUGAUAACCUGAAGUGAGAAAAGUGGAGUACUCAGAGAAAUUGCCCAUACCACACACAGUAGUAUGUCUUCCUUUUAUACUGAAAGUCAUAAGCAUCUGGACAGAUAGGAUGCCCUGUCAAUAUCCUUGAAACACCUCAAAGCAAGUUGUAAGGGCACACUCAUGGGAUUGUGUGUGGAGAGGUACUUUCUUCUUCAGGGUUUCAUGUUGUUCUGAAUCCAGUUAAGAUAACGGUUCACAUUUGUAUAAACACCAGGUAUGCCUUUGUGGCCGCAGCCUAUUCCCCAGCUGAUGAUUCCUAUUAGAUGCAUGCGAUCAUCCUUCAUGCAAACCAAAGGCCCUCCAGAGUCACCCUGCAGAAAAGUAGCAGGUUAGUAAGAAACUCCUUUUUUGCGUAUGUGUAUGUUUUGUACUCUUUCCCUAUUCAGUGGCCAUAAUGGUACAUUAGAUGCCAUUUCUCAAGUCUCCUUAAAUACUCUGUGUAGCUUACCAACAAAUCAGGGACACCAUGCUUCCAGUGCUCUUAGUAACAGCACCUUCACAUUAGCAUGUUCUGUGUUUCAGACAGAAUUCCUUAGUGCUCCUCUCAUACCAGAGGAGAGACACCAAGUAGCCUAAAACUAAGGUGUCUACCCUUGUGUAGCACACAUUUAUGAAAUAUGAGGCAUUUUUGUUAAGAAUGAGACAAAUACUUUUGUUCAAACUCUAAAGGUCCAAGCUGCUUUAUACUAUUGUGAGUAAAGUAUGAUUAUUGAAGAGAUAAUGAAACUGAAAAGGUGCUGAUAUUUAUUUAGGUGUGCUUGCUUACAGAAUAGAAAAUAAUAGGAAACUGCUGAGGUGGGGUUUCCUGCUCAGUUUUGUGGUAUUUCCUGUAUUUAGAAUUUUCAGUCUGUAUUCUGGUUUGCUUGACUGAAUGUAGCCUGCAUUCCUAGCUAUGAGGAAAAGGUGGAGAGGGAAUUAAAAAAAGUAGACCCAACAGUUAAGUUCUGUGAAACAGAAGUUCUCUAGAAUUUCCAUGUAGUCAGAUGCAGGGCUCUUUUAAAUGAUUUUUUAUGAAAAUUUCUCUUUAGUUAAUUUAGAUUAUCAAGAACAGACCUAGAAAAAAAAAAAAGAAUAAAACUGGGUUUACCUUACAAGCAUCAUCAAGGUGCCUUGUGUCUCCUGCACAUAACAUGUUGUCUGUAACUGUCCGGUUGUGUAGAUGCUGUGUGGUGCACCGACUGGCUGGAAAUAGUCUGACGUGGCCUACCUUCAGGUGCUCUGAAUAAAAGGGAGAAACUGAAAGGGAUGUGAAUAUAUAUGAAUAUACAUGAGUAUAUAUGUAUAAAACUUUGCAGUUCAGUUUCUGCAGUUUGGGAGAGUGCAUUAACUAGUGGCAGGAGAGGAGGGUGGGAAAACUAAUAUUUCCUUGCCAGGAGUCUUUUUUUUUUAGUUAUGGGCGUUCUGCUUUGCCGGUGAGAACAACUUAAAUACCGUUGAAAGACAAUUUUGCUGCUUCAGUAAGCUUAAGUGUUAGAGAUUUUUACAGGGUGCAAAUUGCUAGGUUUCUUAGGGGGUUGUCUUUGCAUGAAUGACAUCAAUCUAAAUGGAGCGCAUCUAAUAAUCAAUACAUGUAUGAAAAGGGAUCCUGACUCUUAGUAUUAGAUUUGGGUUAGUUAAAAACAGCUGUCUUGUACAAAAUACUGAAUAACUAGAUAGGAAUGCACACUCGUUAUCUUGGAAUGGAAUUGAUUUAUAUCUGCCUUGCAUGUCGGUUUUAUUCUUCUGCAUAGUUGCAACUGCACAAAGCUGAAAAUUGGCAGGACUGUUUUUCAGUCUGGUUUUAAAUUAUAAUUGCAGUGUACUUUUGCUCUGAAAGAGUUAACUGUACUCCCUAUAGAAAAAGAAGCACUAGGUUUAGCUCUUUUAAAACAUUUUGUGAUACACUUGUCUGUUAAAGUUGUAUGUUAACUCUGUCACAAAAGCCUUAAUAGCUCAAAUUGUGAUUUGUCCUUGUUAUGAUGGAUGCUUCACAGUCUCUGCCUCAGCAUUUACAAUUUAAAGAUAAUAAAAAUAAAUGCCAAUAAGGCAUUUAUAAGCUGCUUUUUCUUCUUUUUUGGAAUACAGGUUAGUCUAUAUGUACUUCCAGACAGGUUUUAUUCCAGGCUUUUUCUUGACUCUGGUUUUUAAAGUAGCUCUGUUUCAAAACCAUUCCUGGUGAGGGGGUUGAUACUGUAUGCCUGUUCAGGAAGUAUUGAGGGCAUAAUCAAAAUACUGUACUGUAACUUUUGGUUAGCACCAAAGUGGCCAGGCAGUUGGACUUCAUGACCUUUGUAGGUACUGCUCAAUUGAACCAAUUUAACUAUUCUGUUUAAUUUGGCUGACCUUUUAAUAUAUAUCCAGGACUUUUACAUCCUUAGCUUUUUUUUUUUUUAUUGCUAAUUGCUGUACAGUCAAUGUAUGUUUUGGAUUAAUGCCCACUACCCACAACUACAUGGUAUUAUUAUGCAUGGUAUUAAAUCUUGACAGAAAUUGAUUUCUUUGAGAAUGACAAUAUCUAAGUUAAUAAUUAAAUACAAUAAAUAGUACAGCAGAAAUGCAGAAGCCUUCACUGACAAACUUUGUCUUAUUCAUCUUGCCAUUUUCUGUGUUCCUACUGUUUGAGAGUUUCAAGAAAAACUCUGCUAACCCAGGCAGCUGACAUAUCUCAGAUGAAUGAAAAAACUUGUUUUUAAUGUAUGUUCCACAUAUAGGUACAUUUUUGGAGUGCUAAUAUAAUUUCAUGAAAUAAUUCAGGAGUCACAGAUUAAACAGGGCUAAAGGCUUGAAUUCUUUGGGGCAGAGAACCUGGCUUUGGCCACAACACAUCUUCUACUUACAUUCUUCGUUUCUACCAUAACCAGAGAUCUCACAUUCAGUCCAGUCAGGCAGCUGCAGGUCAGGUGUUGGGAGGCAGGCUGCUCGAACAGUGUCUGUUUCAAUAGCACAGUCUUCUGUGUCCGAGUUCAACUGCAGCAGAGCUGAACAGUGGGGAAAAAAACAAGAAUCACCACUUGGCUAACAUCAAGCCUUAGCAAAUCACAACCCAUCAAAUUGUGAGGUCAAAGAAAUUCUUACCAAUAUCAUUGUUGUAAUUCUCUGAGUCAUAUCUCUCAUGUACAACGUAGUUCUUCACCUGAAACUUUUGUUCCUUCUCCUCUGGAGUUGCUCGAGAAGUCCUGCCCAGCACAAUCUUCAGCUGAUUAGUACUAAAACUUUAAAAAUGAAAGCAUAUUUACUUCCAGUAUUAACUGGAGUAGAGCCUUUCCUUGAAGACGUGCUGUUGGAGCUUCUCUUAUUUUAGUAUAAUUACUACUUCAUCAGUCAGGCAGUUUGAUCUCAGAUGUCCUAUUUGCUUUAGUUUUUGCACUAAUUGCUUAGAGCCACCAUGGCAAAGAUCCUCUGUAAGUUCCUUGCUGUUGGCAAGUUUCAUGUGGCUCUGCAUUCUGUGCUGACAGCUUUGUUCUUUAGCUAUUUGAUAUUCUGCUGUGGUACUUCAAUGCCAUACAGCUAGUUUGCCUGUCUGUAACACUGAUCACAUUUAACUACAGUUCCUUACUGUAGAAUGACCUAGUGGAGUAAAUGUCUUUUUCAAGUCUUUCACUCUUCCAGUAAGGCUAAUACUGGAUGCUUCCAUUUUCCAGACUUUUUUUUUUUUAAUCAUGAUUUACCAAAAAGUACCAAAUCCUCAACUCACCCUUCCUCAAAACAGUGAGCAGCUGACAAAACCCAGCAGGAACUGAUCAGAAUUCCUCCACAGAGGAAAUGUUCUCCGGGUACUCUGUAAUACUUCACAAAGAUGGCAGCUUGCCAUGGGUGAGCUUCAAUGUCUGCAUAGGAGCCAACUUUAAUCCGGUACUGGCGUGCCCUGUGCUGCCGUAGACCACAGCUGGAGCAAGUAGGCACAUCACAGUACUCCCAUGUGAGCUGUUUUCCUUUCAGUACGUGGCACCAAGGCUUGCUGUCAUUGUCAGGAUUCCUGCAGUACAGGAAGGAGAAGAAAAACUUGUAUCACCAGAUCUGCAGAGAGUUUAGGGAGAAGGAGACACUUAAGGACAGCAGAUGGGGUUCUGAGUGUACUCUUUUUGAUCCUUUUAGAAACACAGAGGGCACAGGGCACAUUAAAUUUUCAUUUAUAGAGUCUGGUGUUAGAGAAGUAUAGACAGACCAAGUGGUAUGAAAAUUACCAUCGGCAGUGAGUUCGAUUCCCGGCCAUAACAUCCCUACUCUGCUUUGAAAACUCAUGUAAACAACUCGAGCCCUCCCUCAACAUUACCACAAGGAAACUUAUUGUUUGUUUUUAAGUUCACUACAUUACUGAUUACAUACCUGCAGAAAUUGUGACUGCCAAGGCCUAGCUGGUAAGCAUCUCUUCUCCAAGCAGUAUAUAACUUGCUGACAAUGAUUUGAGAAUUCCACCUCAAACAGGUAGCUCCAGAAAUGGUAACACUGUGACUACCUCGGUAAUCUGUGCCUCUUCCAGUUUUGCAAUUGAUGUUUCCAACUUAAAUAAUAAAACAGCAUGUGAAAUGGUGAAUGUGAGCCAUCAGCUGUUCUAAUUGUGAUUUCUGUCAAGGCUCCUACGUAUUAGCUAUACUUAUCUCAGGCUCUGUAAUAAAUAUUAAAACCUUAAACAUGAUUUAACAUGAGAAUAUCUUAACUGCUAAUUUUCAUAAGGCCAGAGAGAACUCUGAGAGUUGCUACGACUCACUAUAUAUCUAAAGCCCAUUCUCUGUCCUCCUGCAUGUACCUUUUGAACAGGGGGGCACACUGCAGUAUUCCCAGGUGUACUUCCCCCCUUUGUAGACAUAGCACCAAGGUCUGGAGUCCUCAUCUGGGUUUCUGAAAGAGUUACAACAUUAUGCAUCAUUUUAAAGCUAUAAUUACUAGUCUCAAGUGUGCCAUCUAGUUCAGUAACUUGAUUGUGCUUAGCAGUGAGGGGGUGAACUGAACCAGCAGAAGUCAUUUUUAUUCUUAUUUUAAUUAUAAAAGCAUGGAGGUGGGGAUGAGAUGGCCAGUAGUAAGGGUAGAUAGCUUGUUUGUGCAGGUUAGAUCAUGUGCAGGAGGUACUACAUUGUAGAGUUCUAAGGAGUGUCUAGAUCUGCAGGCAAACAUGAUAGGAAACUGGCUUGCAAAGGGAGUUUUUAACAGUAAGAAGGCAACAGUGGGCACAAGGGAAAGACUGUGGAGUGAGAGAGGGCAUGCAUUUUGUAGUCUAUCAAACAUCCACUCUUAGAUGGUUCAGAAAUAGAAAUCUAUCAGUUGCUGCUCUUGGACUGCACCAUGUUUGCACCUGUUCACAGUGUUCUACAGUUGGUAUCAGGCUGUUGCAAAUAGCCUUUUUUGCCCCAAGCUCCCGGAAUAAUCAGAUUCUUACAGCUCUAAUGUGUGCUGUGAGUCCCUCACCUGCAAUAGUUGUGAUUGCCCAAUCCCAGCUCAGCAGCAUCCUUUCUUUGGCCACUGUAUUUAUGGUCCAUCAAGCCAUUGAUAUUCCAAUUCAGGCAUUCAGCUCCACUCUCUGUUAUGCUCCAUGUACCCCUGUAUGUUACUCCAGCAUUUUUGUAGCACUUAACUUCAGUAUCUGAGCAAAAGGGAACAAAAAACAGCAUCACAAGUUCUGCUUCCUCUGACUCUGCUCUGUUUACAGUUGGCUCCAGAUGCCUUGUCUCAUAAGUCAGUGAAACACCUUUCCAAGCAAACUCUACAUAUACACAAAGGUUUUUGUCUUCAAAGCUUAGUAUUUUAUCAAGAGGCCAGAGAAUCACAGAGCAGCUUGAGUUGGAAGGCACCUUAAAGAUCAUCCAGUUCCAGCCCUCCUGAUGUGGGCAGGGUUGCCAGCCACCAAAUCAAGCACUUGAUCAGGCUGCACAGGCCCCAUACAGCUUGGCUUAAAUAUCUCCAGGGGUGUGGCAUCCACACCUUCUCAAGGCAACCUAUUCCAGCACUUCACCUCCUUCUGAGUGAAAAAUAUCCCCCCAACAUCUAAUCUGAACCUCCUCUCUUUUAGUUUAAAACCAUUCUUCCUUGCCCUAUUGUUACUAGUCAGUAUAAAAAGUCUAUCUUCCUCCUGAUAGUACUGGAAGUUUCUAUAAAAUACUGGAAGGCUGCAAUGAGGUGCCCAUGGAGCCUUCUCUUCUCCAGGCUGAACAAGCUCAAUGCUUUUAUCUCGUAUUUUUAGGAGAGGUGCUCUAGCCCUCUAAUCAUCUUUGUGGUCCUCCUCUGGACUCACUCCAACAGUUCUACAUCUUUAUUGUGCUGGGGGCCCCAGAUCUGGAUGCAGUAUUCUACCUGAGGCCUCACGAGACACAGAGAAACCCAGGUGUCCUUUUCUAAAGUUGUUUGUAGCAUUAGCUUUACCACAAAAAGCAGCAACUUAGCAGAGAGACCCCUGUACAGCAGUGGUUUCUGAGUACCUAAUCCUUCUGUGCUGCACAGCUAAAACCAGCAGCAUUGUUCACAAUAACUGGAGCAGCAUACUUACCUAUUUCACACUGCUUCCCAGAGAAACCGUGGUGACAGCGGCAGAUGAAGAGCUGUGGGGAGUAAUAUGCCUGUGAACACUGGCCCCCAUUGUAGCAUUUAUUUCUAGUGCAGGCUGUGGAAUAAACAAAAGCCAGGAAACAAUUAGAAUUCACAGAAGUAAGCAGCUGGCAACAUGCCCAUCUGUCCUCCUCCUGUCAGUCUCCUUCAGCCUGCUCUACUUUCCCUUAAUAUGUGUAUGUAAUGUUAGACUCUUCCUUUGCUCCAUUAUCUCCAUUAGCAGGAUCAUAAGCUUUUCUCAGUCUCUUGCCUGUUCCUCCUUAGUUCUGCCUGAGGCAGUGUAUACUGAUGCUUUCAUUUCAAGCCAAAUUCUGUGUGAUCACGCCUUCCCUGACAGUGGAGUUUUUCUUUAGGAUGCACUAGACGGAUAGUCUGUCAUCUCCCACCCUUUCCAUUCUUUUUCUUCUUCAUACUCACCUCUGAUGGGCACAGUGUGGCAGUAACUCCAACCACGGUCACACCUACAGUAUUCUAUUCUGCUGCCUGAAAGUCUCAGCCAGCUCCCUCUGUGCUGGUAUAUUUGUCCAGAUGAAUAGUCUGUGCAAAUGGCUGUAAUUGGAGAAAAGGAACCCUCUUUUAGAGAUUCACAGAAAAGACCUCGCUGAGCAAAAUAACUCUCUCUUGCCAGGGUAAAAAGUAUCCAUGAAGGGAUAAAUCAGUCUAACAGGCCACUCUUCCUUAUUCCCAGACCCAGGCUAUCCCAUCUCUGUCAGUGUCAUGCGGCUGAAUGUUCUGUUCUGCUAAUGACCGUCCUCAUUAUGACUUGGAAGAACACAGAAAGAGGAGAAUAUUGUUCUUUAAGGUGUGGAUGGUAUUAACACUGUAGUAUUUUGUCUUCUGAAUCUGCCAUUCUCAGAUUUCCCCCCCAGCCAUGGAAAACAACUUUCAGGCUCCAUUCCUUCAGUGUCAUCUCCUUUCCUCUCCCCUAUGUUUUUAAAGCCUCUGGGUCAUGCAGCUGUAAUUUGCCUGGCUUACCUUGAGAUCUGGCUCCCCGUUUGUAACGCAUGUGUGUGCCCUGCAAGUAGAGAAGGUGAAUUCUGUGAGUAACUACUCUCUUAAGAAAACUGAGAGAACAAGUGCCUUCAAGAAGCCACACCUCCUCUUGAGGUCUUGAAAAUCGGGGAACAAUGAAAAGCGUGUUAAGUAUUUCAGCAUGCGUACUGAAAAACUGCAAAUAAUUUAAUUAGUACAGGUUACUAAUUAACUACAGGUUAUUAUCAGGUUACUGCUUGUCACUUGAGUGUUGUGAACUUGGUGGUGCGUUCUACUUGCAUAAUUUCUGAAGUGUUUAUGUGCUGGUGGAUCACUCCAACUGCUAACUAAAACUUGUCAGCUUUCUGCUAUUUGCAGGAGAUCCAAGAAAAUAAUUUGCAAAUAUGUAGAUGUGAACAAGCAGUUAUUUUCGCUCAGCAGCUUUUGCUUGCAGUUUCCCUGUGAAUACUUUGACUAACUUUCAUUUUUCAGAGCACGUGUUAAUAAGAUUAGUCAUAGUAAGAGCUCAGCAUGGACUGGACAUGUAUGCAGCGAUGUGUGAUCCUUCAGUGCAAGACUUUCACUUGCUACCCAUCAUAUUUAAAUACUGAAAGUGGGAUGGGAGGAAGGAGCAGAAAGGUACAGAUGCAUAUCCUACAGCCAAUUAUUUUUCUUCCCCUGAUUUCUAGGAGUAGAACUAGAUCCUUCCUUUGUCUGAUACAUACAGCUGGAGUCUGUGGUAAGGAAGAGCUGCUGAAAACUAGGUUAAGUGUCUAAGGAU
rnacentral:lncRNA from 1 species